rnacentral:misc_RNA from 1 species
GGCAAUCAUGUUUGUGGCGCCUUCCAUGACGCUUUUUUGUCUUCUGUUUAGAUUGACCACUUUUACCAUAUCCCUGACUUGAUGCUCCAGCAUCCUCCAUUUGAGUGCCUUCAGCACCAUUGGAACCUCUUGCUUGUUCAGUGAAUAAACCAGCUGCAGUCCAAUACUUCAUAAAAUUUUUCUUCACCCGUCUCAUGAGGUCCAAUAUAUAGUCACCUUUAUUGUUGUACUUAUAACAGUUGUCCCAAAUGUAUUGAACAUCUUUAUGAACAUCC